GGUUAAAAAGCUCGUAGUUGGUUCUGCGUGCCACGCUGUCGGUUCACCGCCUGCCGGUGCAACUGGCAUGCCGUGGCAUGUCCUGUCGGUGGCGGAUAGGCUUCGCGGCGUGCCCUAUGCGGUAUACCAGCGUGUAGGUUGCUGCGCCGCGUUGUCCUUGUACGCCGGCUCAAUCCUACCGCGGUGCUCUUUACCGAGUGUCGAGGUAGGCCGACACUGUUUACUUUGAACAAAUUAGAGUGCUUAAAGCAGGCUCUUAAAUCAGCCUGAAUAGUGGUGCAUGGAAUAAUGGAAAAGGACCUUGGUUCUAUUUUGUUGGUUUCCGGAAUCCAAGGUAAUGAUCAAUAAGGACAGGCGGGGGCUUCCGAUUGCGACGUUAAAGGGAAAUUCUUGGAUCGUCCAAAACCCCUAAAGGAAAACAUUGGCAA
rnacentral:rRNA from 1 species